rnacentral:rRNA from 1 species
UACGGGGGGGGUAAGCGUUGUUCGGAAUUACUGGGCGUAAAGGGCUCGUAGGCGGCCAACUAAGUCGGACGUGAAAUCCCUCAGCUUAACUGGGGAACUGCGUCUGAUACUGGCGAGCUUGAGUGCAGGAGAGGAACGCGGAAUUCCAGGUGUAGCGGUGAAAUGCGUAGAUAUCUGGAGGAACACCGGUGGCGAAGGCGGCGUUCUGGACUGCAACUGACACUGAUGAACGAAAGCCAGGGGAGCAAACGGG